rnacentral:rRNA from 1 species
AGUGAACGCUGGUGGUAGGCCUAACACAUGCAAGUCGAACGGCAGCACAGUAAGAGCUUGCUCUUACGGGUGGCGAGUGGCGGACGGGUGAGGCAUACAUCGGAAUCUACUUUUUCGUGGGGGAUAACGUAGGGAAACUUCCGCUAAUACCGCAUACGACCUACGGCUGAAAGCAGGGGAUCUUCGCACCUUGCGCGAUUGAAUGAGCCGAUGUCGGAUUAGCUAGUUGGCGGGGUAAAGGCCCACCAAGGCGACGAUCCGUAGCUGGUCUGAGAGGAUGAUCAGCCACACUGGAACUGAGACACGGUCCAGACUCCUACGGGAGGCAGCAGUGGGGAAUAUUGGGCAAUGGGCGAAAGCCUGAUCCAGCCAUACCGCGUGGGUGAAGAAGGCCUUCGGGUUGUAAAGCCCUUUUGUUGGGAAAGAAAAGCAGCAGGUUAAUACCCCGCUGUUCUGACGGUACCCAAAGAAUAAGCACCGGCUAACUUCGUG